rnacentral:lncRNA from 1 species
AGUUUCAUUCUCGGGAACGUACUCCCCAGGAGGGAUACUUAACGCAUUAGCUACAGCACUACAUGGGUCGAUAUGCACAGCACUUAGUAUCCAUCAUUUACGGCUAGGACUAAUGGGGUAUCUAAUCCCAUUCGCUCCCCUAGCUUUUGUCUCUCAGUGUCAGUGUCGGCCCAGCAGAGUGCUUUCGCCAUUGGUGUUCUUUCCGAUCUCUACGCAUUUCACCGCUCCACCAGAAAUUCCCUCUGCCCCUACCAUACUCCAUCUUGGUAUUUUCCACCGCUUAUCCAGGGUUGAGCCCUGGGAUUUAACGGCAGACUCAAAAAGCCACCUACAGACGCUUUACGCCCAAUUAUUCCGGAUAACACUUGCAUUCUCUAUAUUACCGCGGCUGCUGGCAUAGAGUUAGCCGAUGCUUAUUCCCUAGAUACCAUCAUUGCUUAUUCUUAGAGAAAAGAAGUUCACGACCCGUGGUCCUUCUACCUCCACGCGGCAUUGCUCCAUCAGGCUUUCGCCCAUUGCGGAAAAUUCCCCACUGCUACCUCCCGUAGGAGUCUGGGUCUUGUCUCAGUCCUUGUGUGGCUGAUCAUCCUCUCGGACCAGCUACUGAUCAUCGCCUUGGUAAGCUAUUGCCUGACCAACUAGCUAAUCACACACGAGCCCCUCCUCGGGCGGAUUCAUCCUUUUGAUCCUCAGCCUAUGGGGUAUUAGCAGCCGUUUCCAGCUAUUGUUCCCCUCCUAAAGGCAGGUUCUUAUGCGUUACUCACCCAUCCACCACUGGAAACACCGUUUCCCAUGUUUUCCAUCUGACUUGAAUGUGUUAAGCAUGCUGCUAGCGUUUAUCCUGAGCCAGGAUCGAACUCUUCAUGAGAUUCAUAGUUGUAUUACUUAUAGCUUCCUUGUUCGUAGACAAAGCAAAUUUGGAAUUGUCUUUCAUUCCAAGGCAUAACUUGUAUCCAUGCACUUUAUAUUCGCCCAGAGUUUGCUCCCAGAAAUAUAGCCAUCCCUGCCCCCUCACAUCAAUCCCACGAGCCUCUUAUCUAUUCUCAUUAAAUGACGGUGGGGGAGAAAAUCCAACUAGAAAAACUCAUAUUGGGCUUAGGGAUAAUCAGGCUCGAACUGAUGACUUCUACCACAUCAAGGUGACACUCUACCGCUGAGUUAUAUCCCUUUCCUUCCCCAUCGAGAAAUAGAACUGACUAAUCCUAAGUCAAAGAGUCAAGAAACUCAACGCCACUAUUCUUGAACAACUUAGAGCCGAGCCUUCUUUUUGCACUAUUACGAAUAUGAAAAUAAUAGUCAAAAUCGUAUUCAAUUGUCAACUGCCCCUAUCGAAAAUAGGAUUAACUACCGAUUUUGAAGGAACGAACUGGAGUUACAUCUCUUUUC